GUGGGACUCCUUGACAUUAAGAAAAAGUGAUUUAAUAGUAAAUCAUGAUAUGCAAACAAAAUACUAUUAUGUUUUCUUGUCUUCAAAUAUGUAUCUAAUGUUUUGAUAUGAAGUGUAUGAAACAUGUACAAAAAUAAAUUGUGUUUUGGAAUAUGAAUAUAAGUAUUAUAUGGCUGACGGUUUAUACUUGAUGUCAUAUAUUUU
rnacentral:lncRNA from 1 species